rnacentral:rRNA from 1 species
UAACGAUACCGGACUCAUCCGAGGCCCGGUAAUCGGAAUGAGUACACUUUAAAUCCUUUAACGAGGAACAAUUGGAGGGCAAGUCUGGUGCCAGCAGCCGCGGUAAUUCCAGCUCCAAUAGCGUAUAUUAAAGUUGUUGCGGUCAAAAAGCUCGUAGUUGGAUCUCGCAGGUUGGGGGCGGUUCAUUAUUUAAUGUUUACUGCUCCAUGAACCUGUGUACUUUUUUUGACAGAGGUUCCAAGGUGCUCUUUAUUGAGUGUCGUGGGAUGCUGUCAGGUUUACUUUGAAAAAAUUAGAGUGCUCAAAGCAGGCUUUACAAGCUUGAAUAUUGGUGCAUGGAAUAAUAGAAUAGGAUGUUGUGUCCUUUUUGUUGGUUGUAGGAUAUUAACAUAAUGAUUAAUAGGGACAGUCGGGGGCAUUAGUAUUCAGACGACAGAGGUGAAAUUCUUGGACCGUUUGAAGACUAACUACUGCGAAAGCAUUUGCCAAGAAUGUUUUCAUUAAUCAAGAACGAAAGUUAGAGGUUCGAAGGCGAUCAGAUACCGCCCUAGUUCUAACCAUAAACGAUGCCAGCUAGCGAUCCGCUUGUGUUUCUUAUAAGGCCAUGCGGGAAGCUUCCGGGAAACCAAAGCUUUUGGGUUCCGGGGGAAGUAUGGUUGCAAAGCUGAAACUUAAAGGAAUUGACGGAAGGGCACCACCAGGAGUGGAGCCUGCGGCUUAAUUUGACUCAACACGGGAAAUCUCACCAGGCCCGGACACUGGAAGGAUUGACAGAUUGAGAGCUCUUUCU